CUACGGGAGGCAGCAGUUAGGAAUAAUCUACAAUGCGCGCAAGCGUGAUAGUUUGAGCCAGAGUGUUUUUCAAUUGAAAGACUUUUGUGAAAUGUAAAAAGUUUCACGAAUAAGGACUGGGUAAGACUAGUGCCAGCCGCCGCGGUAAUACUAGCGGUCCGAGUCGCAGCCAUUUUUAUUGGGUCUAAAACAUCCGUAGCUUGCUUGAUAAGUCUUCUGUGAAAUUUUACGUCUAAAACGUAGAGCGCGCAGAAGGUACUGUCGAGCUAGAGACAGGUAGACGUAAGAAGUACAUUCAGAGUAGCGGUUAAAUGUGUUAAUCCUGGAUGGACUAACAAGAGCGAAGGCAUCUUACGAGAACUGUUCUGACAGUAAGGGAUGAAAGCUAGGGGCGCAAAUGGGAUUAGAUACCCGCGUAGUC
rnacentral:rRNA from 1 species